rnacentral:rRNA from 1 species
AACGAACGCUGGCGGCGCGCCUAAUACAUGCAAGUCGAGCGAGAAGACGUAGCAAUACGUUUGUAAAGCGGCGAACGGGUGAGGAAUACAUGGGUAACCUACCCUCGAGUGGGGAAUAACUAGCCGAAAGGUUAGCUAAUACCGCGUACGCUCCUCGGACUUCGGUUCAGGGAGGAAAGCGAUACCGUGGGUAUCGCGCUCUUGGAUGGGCUCAUGUCCUAUCAGCUUGUUGGGAGGUAACGGCUCACCAAGGCUUCGACGGGUAGCUGGUCUGAGAGGACGAUCAGCCACACUGGCACUGCGACACGGGCCAGACUCCUACGGGAGGCAGCAGUAAGGAAUAUUGCGCAAUGGGCGAAAGCCUGACGCAGCGACGCCGCGUGGGGGAUGAAGGUCUUCGGAUUGUAAACCCCUUUCGGGAGGGAAGAUGGAACGAGCAAUCGUUCGGACGGUACCUCCAGAAGCAGCCACGGCUAACUUCGUGCCAGCAGCCGCAGUAA